rnacentral:lncRNA from 1 species
GAUGGACGGCUACACCCAACCCUUUAUGUCAUACGGGGCUAGACGGAUGCACCCAACUUUUACAUCAUACGGGCUAGACGUUUUGUAAAUACACUCGAUCUUUAAUUUCAUACGGGGUUAGACGUUUUUGAGUGACUUGUCAUUUGAAAUUGAUUGGCAAUUUAGGCUCAUGCCACCAAGGAGCAUUUUUCAUUUUUUUUUCUUCUUUUUUUUUAAUGCAAAUAUUUUUCAUUUGAAAUUAGUUGGCAGUUUAAGCUCGUGCAACCAAGGAGAAAUUUUUGAAAUUUUCUUAUUUUGAUUAUUAUCUUUUGAAUGAAAAGGCUUUUUAUUUGAAAUUGGUUGGCAGUUUAAGCUCGUGCCACUAAGGAGAAAUUUUUAAAAUUUUUUGUAUUUGGAUAUUUUUUUUAAUGAAAAGGUUUUUCAUUUGUACUUGGUUGACAGUUUAUGCUCGUGCCACCAAGGAUCAAUUUUUGAACUUUUUGAUUUUUUUAUUAUUAUUUUCAAGACACAUGUGGUGUCAUAAGUAUUGAUACAGGCGACAUGCUUUGUGUUCCCCCAAUGAAAGUUCUUUUAACUUUUGCCUAGUUUCCUUGAGCGAACUAUCUCUCGCUCUUCUCGGUUUGGUUUUUCUUCAUAAACAAUGGACCUUGAUUUACUCUUUCGCUCUCCAACAAACUCCAUUUUUCUCUCUCUAGUGCUUCCAUUCUCUUCUAUUCUUUAAAAAAAUUGGAUUGCCUUACUCUUCUCUGUAAUAUCGUAUUCCCUCCAUUCCUAGAUUUCUCUUUCUAAAAAUUCCUGGUUUUUCUUUCUAAACUAGGCAAUCCCAACCUCCAUCUUCUCACUUGUACUACUCUUUUCUCCCACCCUUUUAUAUACUUCCCAUUCUUAUUCUAAACUUGAUUUCUCUAAGUUGCUUCUCUCUAAAGACCUCUUCAAAAUCUGGGGCUCCAUCCCUUCUCAUCUUCUAAAAAUUACACCAUUGUGGCCCUUCUCUUUUGGACCUCUUGGUGAGGGUCGUAUUCGAGGGAUCAGGAAUGAUUGGAGAAAAUCCGCAAUGAAGUCUCGAGAUGGGGCACUUCUCGAAGACGAAAGGAAAGGAAAGGAAAAGGUAUGGGCAUUUUUCUCACUCAUCAAGUUUUGUGUGUUCUGAUUUUGGGUUGAUUAAGAUCACACUUGUUUUAGCCUGAAUUGAUGAAUAGAAUAAUUUCUUUGAGACUUAUAUUGAAAUUUCUUGUUGUUUAGGGUUCUUGUCCAAAGAUUUUGUUUGGAUGCGUAUUGAUUCUUGCUCUGAAAUUGCCUGAACAUGUUCUUGAGAUGCUUGAUGUAAUGUUUGUGUUACGUGCCUAACAUAAGCAUGGUAAAUAAGGCAGGCAUAUGUAUGUAUAUCUCAUGCAGAGUCGUGUAGGAGUAGUUAAUAAAGUCGUAUAUAUCGGGUUGACCAAGUCUUUGGGCAGAUUUACAUGAGUAGUUAAUAGAAGCUGAUAUUUUGACUAUUUUAUUGGGUUUAUCGGGUAGCUUACAUGAGUAGUUAGUAGAAGUUGAUCUUUGGCUAUUUUCUUAUAAUCAAUGUGGCUUGAGUAUUUAAUGAGAAGUAAUCUUUCGGGAGGGAAAGCUUUUGAACCCGAACCAACGCUUGUGUGUUAACGCGACCAGGUUUCCUCCAUUAAACCAAUUAGUACUUGUGUGUUAACAAGGCCAAGUUUUCUCUAUUAAACCUAU